rnacentral:lncRNA from 1 species
UCGAUCUGUCGAACUUGUCAAGCUCGAUUUUAGAAGCACUUAUUCCUUCACUAAGGAACUCUUUUUCUAAAAAAUAUCUCUUAUUGCUGACAAAUAUCUUUUGUUCAGUAGGCAAGUAAAAGUAAUAUCCCCUUGUUUUAUUGAGGUACCCUAUGAAAUUAUAUUUAUCAGAUCUUUGUCCGAUCUUAUCAGUUUGUAAUCAUUUAAUAUAAGUCAGACACCCUUAAAUCUUAAUGUAAGAGAGG